ACUCCCCACCCGGUUUCCACAUUCUGCUACAAAUCAACACCAAAUCCGACUUCCUUAGUCUGCUUCUGCACAUCAUCGACAAAGCCUGUUCCCUGACACCUUCCCACCGUUUUCCGGACGCAAAAAUAUUGAGAAGACCUCCCUGUAUGCGCUACAGAUCCUGCACCGGGCUCUCAAAACACAGGAUGGUGAAUUUUUGGGCUUCGAAGCAGCCAAAAACUGACACGUAGCAGUCGGAGAUGGUGGUUUACUGCAGUAUCCGGAACAGCCUUCGAAGGACGGCAAAAAAGGCCCGGCAAAAUAAAAAGAUCAAAAAGGCCGUUCGCAGAUGAAAAGGAAAAGUCACAGGAAAAGCUUUUGGCAGCCAACCCCUUGAGUAACGACACCGAACACGCAGGCCUUCAUAUAGCGCUGAAAAAGAUAAUCAAACUUGACCCAGAACAUCGGCAAAACGACGAGCAAGCAUCUCAGUUUGGCCAGGCUGUGAUACAGUGUCUACCGGAGGAAUCUGUAAAAACAUGGAUUGUUCGGAACCGGCCCUGCUUCCUGCUGCUUCUGAGCUUUGAGCUGAGGGUGAUUGAUGAAGUGAGUCGGGCCCACCCUGCAUUUAGGAAGCGACCAGGACUCCCCAAUGCCAGCCGGAAUGGCAAUGGAUUGAUUUU